rnacentral:misc_RNA from 1 species
GUGAAUGAUUCAACUUUCCAAUAGUGCUAAUCUUAUCCUUCAUGCAUGAAUGGAGCACCCAAGUGUCAAAAAUUUGUACAUAUGUAGAUCAUCAUCUGUCCCUAGUCCUAUCAGAUCUACAAGCAAACCCAAGUGUGCAGGCGUGGCAGCAGCUUCUGCAACUAAAAGCUGCGCGUGUUCAGCAAACACACCCUGCUCUGCACCAGGCGCCGGAACAGCAGCUCGAGCCCGUCCUCCAGCUGCCGGGUCGUGUCGACCAGUGCUCUGAGAUCUCGCUGCGCGCUCAGCGCCGCCUCGCCGUCGUGCGAAUAAUCCUUGGACGACAAGGAGGCGGCGGUCAUCACGUCACCGGCGGCGGCGGCGUCCUCGCACGCCACCCGGGCGCUCUUCCGGAA